ACACACACCCCCAAAGAGGAGGUUUUCCAGCCUUAUCCUAAUAAGUGAGUGCAUUAACACACGGAGAGGUGUUGGAGCACCAGGCAGGAAGAUGCUCCUGUGUAAUGUGUGCAACACCAGGAAACUCCAGAGACCUACGAUGAGAGAAAUCCUUGUCUGGGGGCAAGUGGAAGAACAGGGCAGAAACGGAUUUACAUGUAACUUGAACUCAAUAACUGCUGAAACAGUAAGAAAUCCAGAACACCACUUCUGAAAGUGAAAUGAAUCCAGAUUGUCCCAAACUGUGUCAUUCUUAACGCGUCCCUUUACCUACGAGUGGGAAGAGAGAAAAGAAAGCUGUAAGAUCAAGGCAACAAGGGAGCUGAGCCUGAAAGUGGGGUAAAGCAGACUGCAGUAAACUUCCCUCUCAUCAGGGAGUGCCCAAGUUUAAUGGGCUCCCUUAUAAAGGAACUAAUCAUAAAAAGAAUGCAAAAAUCAA